GGCCCUGUGGUGUAAUGGUUACACGUCCUUGAUUCAUUGUGCCGUGAACUUUCUGUAAGAGGGAAUUCCCUGUUCGAAUCAGGGCGGGACCG